CAAAGUGUCCUAGGUACUCCUAGGGAGCCCUUUUUUGUGUGCAUUUGUAUUUUGUGCAAAAUGAUGUUUACAAACAAAUAGAAUGAGGGGAUGAGAGAAGAAUUGAUUAAUUAUAUUUUUGUGUUUGACAAGACCUUCGGUCUUCUGCCUACGUACCAACAUAAAAAUGAGGGAUCAAAACCUCGUAGUUCGUGCUAUAAAUUUCAAAGUGAGUAUGUUGGUUUUAACAAAAUUUAAGCUUGAAAGACACAAAUGCC
rnacentral:lncRNA from 1 species